ACAACUGAAAAAUUAAAUUUCCUUGGUCAUGGCCUGGUGAGAUUUGGCACCCAGAACCACCAGAAGCCUCAGCUCACCUCUGGCUGCCACGGUGUGGGAGGAUGAAACCCAGGCCCUGACAAGC
ensembl:snoRNA